CAACCCUAUGAAACCCAAGGACUCCAUCUGUGCUCAGCUCUGUGACGUGGAGCCAGCAGGCUCUGCCGAGAGAUACCAGGUUCUGCAGUGUGAAAGGUUUGGAAGACUUCAGGGUGUUCCUUCCUGAUGAAACUUCUCCUGCUAUUCUCACCACCUCUGAGAACAUCCAGUCUCGUCCCAGCUCAGUGCCCUCAGAGACUGGUGGUGUGGGUGGGGCCGAGGCUAAGACUGGAAGUUGGGCCGGUGCUGCGACGGCACCCAGGAACAGCCACG